CAUGACCCUCAUCGCCGCUUGUGUAGCUGAUGUGGUCAAACAGGAGCUGCAAGUGACUUCUUUUCAUUGAUGGUCGCUGUUCAGUUUGUUGCUUUGUCGCUGAACAGUGACAUUUCACAAAAAUACACCU
ensembl:snoRNA